rnacentral:rRNA from 1 species
UACGUAGGGUGCAAGCGUUAAUCGGAAUUACUGGGCGUAAAGCGUGCGCAGGCGGCUUUGCAAGACAGAUGUGAAAUCCCCGGGCUCAACCUGGGAACUGCAUUUGCGACUGCAUGGCUAGAGUGCGGCAGAGGGGGAUGGAAUUCCGCGUGUAGCAGUGAAAUGCGUAGAUAUGCGGAGGAACACCGAUGGCGAAGGCAAUCCCCUGGGCCUGCACUGACGCUCAUGCACGAAAGCGUGGGGAGCAAACAGG